CUUAUUAUCAUUUCCUAUUCUAGAGAAGUUUCAAACUCAGAGAAAAAUUAGCUCAUUCUUAUAUCGGUCAGCCAUUGCCAUCUUCUCUCUACCUGAUACACUUUAGAUAAAGAGUUUUACACACAUUUAUAAGAAACAAGGAAACAUACAGAGAUGAAUUUAUAUUUUAUUCUAAGCGUCUGAUACGUUUAGUUGAGUACGCACUAUCUCUUUUACCUUUCGGGGUAAAUGCUAAUAUAUCAGUGAAAUAUGAACGAAAUAAGAUUUUAUUAUUUAAAUUAUAUAUUUAUAUAAUUAUAUAUUUAUAAUAUGUAACAGUAGAAACACACAAGGAGUAUUAUAUAAUGGAAAACGUGCUGCUACGGAUAAAAUAUGUGAUGUUUCCAUUUUGCGUGCGGUGAAACGAUGGAACAAGCUGUCAGAUGUAUGCAAAGAUAUUAGAAUAGGAAAAAUACUUAUCCAAACGAAUCAACAGACUGGAGAGCCAGAACUUUAUUAUCUAUGAUUGCCAAAAGAUAUUAAAGAUUAUAAAGUGAUACUGAUGGAUGCAACAGUAGUAACAGGUGCUGCUGCUAUUAUGACUAUUCGAGUCCUAUUGGAUCACGACAUUGCAAAAGAAAACAUAUCUCUACUUAUGGCAGAAUCUGGUGUGCAUUCGAUUGCUUAUGCAUUUCCGCACAUAAGAUCGUAACAUCUGCCUUAGAUCUUAUGAUAAAUGAGAAGUUUUAUGUUGCCGGUAUUGGUAAUUUUGGCGAUCGAUACUUUGGAACUGAACCAUCUUCGAUCGAUGAUUAGUACAGUUGAUCUCACUUUUCAGUUUCCUCAAAGCUAUUAAUUUAUUAUACAAAAUACAGUAAUCUUAUAUUAUUUAAUUAUAUUUAAUAAAAUUUGUGUGUUAUUGAGAGACUUAUGCGAUAUUCAAUAUCGAUUGUUUAUUACCUAAUAUUUAUUUUAAUCCAUUUUACUAUAUGAUUAAAGUAAUAUUGUAUCGAUAUUAAAGUCAAUAGUACUUCCUUGUGUGCUUAUACCUGUACUGCGUAAUUGUCUGUAACCUCGAGCACUUGCUGUACAGAAACGGUGCCAAAAAUCCAAAUGACCAGAACUGGGAUUACUCGACUGUCCCAAAAGAUAUGUAAUUAAUCUAUCAAGAGCGGCCAAAUCUUCGCUCGUACUGCCAGAACCUUCCGGUAAAUUGAAACUAUUUUACACAGUUUGUUCUUUUUGUUCAGUAUUUGUAACGUUAAUUGUACUAUUACUGCUGUGAAAUUUUUGUGUAAACUAUAAGAAAAACAAUCUUAUAUUUUAUGUAUUAUAUAUAAUUUCUAAUUAAUUACAUUAAUUAGAAAUUUUACGUUAUCUCGUCUGGACCAUGUUGACCAUAACUUAAUUUUUGGAUUUUGCGGAAUGUUUCAUCAUCUAUAGCUUCACGCUUCGUUUAACGUUUGUUCUAGCACGCGUUGUUUUGUUUUACUUAAUUCACC